rnacentral:lncRNA from 1 species
CUGGGCCUUGGGGCUGCUGGAUGAAUGAGACCCAGCCUCUGCCCUGGGAGUGCAGAGACUCAAGACAGAUAUGACCACGUGAAGAGACAACUGUAAAACAAGUGUGGUUGCCCUAGAGUUUGCAGUAUAUGUUUACAACUAACCCAAGACCACUUUCAAAUUACACUACACCUUGCAGGCAGUGAAUUAGAGAAUAAAAUCCCAGCACGAUGUUCCUCACUGGAGACACCAGUCCAGCUGAGGACAAUAGAGAAGCCACCCUUCCUCAAUGUUCACUUCCAGAAUUAUAUGCAUGUAUUGAGAAUUUUAAUAAGGAGAGCAAGAAAUCAAAUCUUCUAAAAAUGCAUGGUAUUUCACUUAACGAAGCACAGGAAGUACUUGCUAGAAACCUGAAUGUCAUGUCAUUCACCAGGGGCGCUGAUGUGAGAGGAGAUCUCCAACCUGUUAUCAGGAAAACAAUUCAUGAAUCUAAGGGAUCUGGAAUGGAGAUAUUUUAAGGGGCUUGCGAAGUGGAGGCGCACUACUGCAAUUUCAUUCGGAGACAUAAAAUACAACACUGAGAAGAGAUUUGUAGAGAGCCAGGACAUGCCUGACGUUAUUUUCCCCCCUAUAGUUCGCAAGUCUUUGGUCAUUUAUCCUCAAAUUGAUUAUCAAAAUGAAGGAAGUUAUUCUCUUAAAUGGAAUAUGUAGUGUAUUAAAAUAUUUUGGACGUAGAUUUUUGCUUUUGAGAGCAUUGAUUUAAUACACAAAAAGUAAAGAAGCCAAGUACCCAAUAGAACAUCUGAAGUGAGUGUGUACAACACACAUGAAGGUAUAUUGUAAAAUUAAGCCGUUAAUACAGAGCAAAAGGUCCGAUUUAAUCUGCUAACGUGAGAAGUGGUUUGGACGGUGCAACCCAUUUGGACCAGGGCUAAAGCAAAUAUAGGUCAUAUGAAAAGAAAAGGUGUAACUGAAGAACACUCAAGCAAGCAUAGCUUUUUAAGGAAUUUUAAGCACACAAGGAAGUUCAUCAUCAUAAAGUAUUUGGUACAUUCAACAAACAAAUUAACAUCUGAGCAUAUAGAGAUCAAUAUGAGAACUUAAAUAUAAUCUAUUAACUGUCCAGUGACAAAGAAGGAAACAGCAUCCAUGAAAUAAGAACAGAAAGAUUUGUAAAAGAACAAAUUGGAAAUCUUGGAAAUGAAAGAUAUAGUCAUUGAAAAUUAUAAUAAUAACCCUUGAUAAUUAUCCCAGUGGUAGCCUGGAUAUAUCUGAAGAGAGAGGGCUAACAAGUUGGAAGACAGCAUUGAAAAGCUUAGAGAUCAUAGCACUGUAAGACAGAAAAAUAAGAGUAUUGGACGGUAGAAUGAGAAGUUCAGAAAUGUAUACGAUGGAAUUAGCAGAAAAAAAAUAGGAGAAUGGAAAUUAAGUGAUAUGUGAAAAUAAAAUGACAGAAAAAUCUCAAGAAACACAUGAGACCUUGAACUGAAAAAUCUCAGACUGAUUAGCAAGAUAUUGAAAAUAAAUCUAUACCCAGAAAUACUGUAGCAAAACUAUGGACCACUAAGCAGUAAAGGAAAAUAUAAUCUACGAAAGAGAGAUGGAUUACAUACAAAGAAAUGACAAAUUGACAAUAGAAUGCUCAUUAACAAUAGAGGUCAGAGGACAAUAGUGUCAUAUACUUACAAUGCUGAAGGAAAAUAGCUGUCUGUAAUUCUAUAAGCAGCCAAACUCUCUCUGAGGAGUAGGGGGUAAAAUAAAAAUGUUAAAAAAUACAUGGGCCUAAAAAUGUUUACUAUCCAUAAUCCCUUGCUUAAAAAAAACUACUAAUAAAGUAUGUAUUUUAGUAAGAACCCAGAGGGAAUGCAAGAAAUAAUGGCAAGCAAAUUGUUAACAAUAUAUGUGUGUAUGAUUGUGUAGAUAUUAAAAUACAUUUCCGGA